UUUUUCUGAAGAUGGGAGAUUUGUUCGCCGUCCCACCAAUCGCCUGAAGCCAGAUGCUGUGCCAACUAUUUUUAAUUUGAGUGGAUAUAGUGCUGGAGACACGGACAUACCCGUCAGAUCGGACCCGGGCGCUGCUCUUAUGCGCAGCGAAAGAGCGCAGAAACGUGCUUGCCAGGCAGAGGAACGAGAGGAGUCCCGAGAAUGGGGCCGGAACGGGUACGGCAAAGUCCGGGUCACGCCCACUUUUGGCGGUGGAAACGCGACCUGACCCGCACCUUUGCGAUCCGAUCCGUUCCGCACCCUGCAGUGGAAACGCGCCAUUACUAGCCAAAAUUUGAGUACGCAGUACGUUCCAAUUCAGAUCCGGCGAAAAGAAGUAUACUUCAAGGACCCGGAUGCCGUACUCAAAACGGGCUAAUCGUGAAGUGUGGAUCGAAGGACACUCCCCGUACUCAACGGCAGCCAUCUUAGCUACGUAGCGAAAGAGGCGGAGCCAGGCUGAGCCAAAGUCGGCGCAUUUCCCACAUAGUCUGCAUUAAUAGUCAUUUUGUAGUUUUUAUAGUUUUUAUAGUUUUUAUAGCUGCUAGGCGUAAAGAGUUCACCGUUCAAAGCGGGAUGUUUAUUGCGGGGGAGGAGCCACGGCGGCAAACGUGAUCGUAAUUUCCGGUUAGUGCACCAUGGAGUACUCGAUUUGGAACAGCACUCACAUCUGAAAAAUUAGAGUGGUGGAGGGAUGACGUAUGUUGGCCAACCCGGAAGUGAGCGUCGCCCUGGAUUCCCUCGACAAAAAGCCAACGGGUUUUGCCAUUGGAUUUUGGAUUAUUGCUGAAACAUUUGCAUCUUUGAAGCACCUCCUCAAAAACUG
ensembl:lncRNA